GGGCUGGCGCAGUGGCGCAAUGGAUAACGCGCCUGACUACGGAUCAGGAGAUUCCAGGUUCGAAUCCUGGCUGGCUCG
rnacentral:tRNA from 1 species